GAAUUCCGGGUGUAGCGGUGGAAUGCGUAGAGAUCCGGAAGAAUACCGGUGGCGAAGGCGGCCUGCUGGGCAGUCACUGACGCUGAGGCGCGACAGCGUGGGGAGCAAACAGGAUUAGAUACCCUGGUAGUCCACGCCGUAAACAAUGGGCACUAGGCGCCUGGGGGAGCGACCCCUUGGGUGCCGCCGCUAACGCAGUAAGUGCCCCGCCUGGGGAGUACGGCCGCAAGGCUGAAACUCAAAGGAAUUGACGUGGGCCCGCACAAGCGGUGGAGCAUGUGGUUCAAUUCGACGCAACGCGAAGAACCUUACCUGCGCUUGCCAUGUACGUGAAAGCCUUCAGAGACGGGGGCCCCUGUUCGGAGCGCGUACACAGAUGCUGCAUGCCUCUCGUCAGCUCGUGUCGUGU
rnacentral:rRNA from 1 species